UGUGAGUUCAAAAAGGUUAUUCUUUCUUCUGAAAUGGGAAAGCAUGCCAGUGCCCACAUGCAGGCAACACAGAGCUCGGUGAAUCCUAAUCUUCUAGUCUACUUUUGAUAGGAGACCAGAUUUGUAUAAACUCAGCCUCUUUCUGGCUCAUGGUCAGAACUUCAGAGAUUCUUCUAGAUGCUGGCCAUCCAAGUGACAAUGCCUGGGCAUAUCUGCUGGGAUUUGCCCAACCCCCAGGUUUAUCUGGGAAUCCAAGGAAGGAGAGAAAGAGGAAGAAGGAGUCCGUUGCUGUGGAGGAGCUCAGCCACAGAUCCAGCUGGAGAAGCAAGCAGAACCAGUCAUAUCAUUACUGCAAGCGUUUUUCUUGCUUUCUUUUUAAUUUUAACUAACCAUAGCUUUUUACACAUGUAAAAGCCAGGUUUCCUCUCCCUCACAGUGCUUGUUCUUCAGCUCUAGAAAACCAAGCCAGGUUUGUGAGGUUCAGAGUGAGAGUGCCCACAACCCAGGAUGAUGGUCUGGGCUACCUCUCUGGCCUCAGUCAGGGGCUCUGGUUGUUAGUCACAGAAUCCAACACUGGUUACCUUAGCAAAAAAGAAACUUUGGACAAAAAAGGAAUUUGAGGGAAGGAAUACCUCUGGGCUAUAUGUAGCUCAAUAACACCAGGAUUUCUUAGACUAUGUAGCAGAAGUCGACUAGUGACUUCUAUGCCAAAUUUGGUUCAGCAGCUCCAUGAGGUCACUAUGGUAGCAGCCCUCAAGAUAGCUAGGUCAGCUGGGUGUGGUGGCACAUGUUGUUAAUCCCAGCUACUCAGAAGCCUGGGGCAGGAAGAUCACAUAUUCAAGGCCAGCCUGGAAAACUUAGUGAGAUCCUGUCUCAAAAUAAAA
rnacentral:lncRNA from 1 species